rnacentral:rRNA from 1 species
CGGUGGAUCACUUGGCUCGUGGGUCGAUGAAGAAUGCAGCUAAUUGCGCGCCAACUUGUGAACUGCAGGACACAUGAAAAUCGACGUUUCGAACGCACAUUGCGGUCCA